rnacentral:rRNA from 1 species
AUUGAACGCUGGCGGCAUGCCUUACACAUGCAAGUCGAACGGCAGCAUGGAAGAGCUUGCUCUUCUGAUGGCGAGUGGCGAACGGGUGAGUAAAGCAUCGGAACGUACCGUGUAGUGGGGGAUAACGUAGCGAAAGUUACGCUAAUACCGCAUACGCACUGAGGUGGAAAGCAGGGGAUCGCAAGACCUUGCGCUAUACGAGCGGCCGAUGUCAGAUUAGCUAGUUGGUAGGGUAAAGGCCUACCAAGGCGACGAUCUGUAGCGGGUCUGAGAGGAUGAUCCGCCACACUGGGACUGAGACACGGCCCAGACUCCUACGGGUGGCAG